UACGUAGGGGGCAAGCGUUGUCCGGAUUUACUGGGCGUAAAGGGCGUGCAGGCGGUGCGGUAAGUUUAGCGUGACAGUCUCCGGCUUAACCGGGGAAGGCCGCUGAAAACUGCUGGACUUGAGGACCAGAGAGGGACAUAGAAUUCCGGGUGGAGUGGUGAAAUGCGUAGAUAUCCGGAGGAAUACCAAAGGCGAAGGCAGUGUCCUGGCUGGUAACUGACGCUGAGGCGCGAAAGCUAGGGGAGCGAACAGG
rnacentral:rRNA from 1 species